UUUUUUAAGUCUUAAAAGACUCUGAAAAGUCAUUCAAUACCACAGUAACGACACAUACACGUUGUCACGUAUGUAGCUCUCUCUAUGCAAAAAAUACAUUCAUGAAUAUGUGUAUAAUAAGCCUCCUUUGAGUCUCAUUUCCGGGACUUGGUGGUGUGUAUAAGUUACGUCACAGUCGCCAUGUUAGAUGACAUUGACCGAGGAAUUGCUUGUUUGUUAUCCAACAUGGCGAAAAUCUCCUUGUUCUUUGAAUCCAUGGGAGUGGCUACACAUCACCUAUAGAAGGCUUACUAAUAUAUAGGAAGAAUAUUCAAU
rnacentral:lncRNA from 1 species